AGAGUUUGAUCCUGGCUCAGGAUGAACGCUAGCUACAGGCUUAACACAUGCAAGUCGAGGGGCAGCAUGUCGGUUGCUUGCAACCGAUGAUGGCGACCGGCGCACGGGUGAGUAACGCGUAUCCAACCUACCCUUGUCCAUCGGAUAACCCGUCGAAAGGCGGCCUAACACGAUAUGCGGUUCUCAGCAGGCAUCUAACGAGAACGAAAUGUGAAGGAGAAGGAUGGGGAUGCGUCUGAUUAGCUUGUUGGCGGGGUAACGGCCCACCAAGGCGACGAUCAGUAGGGGUUCUGAGAGGAAGGUCCCCCACAUUGGAACUGAGACACGGUCCAAACUCCUACGGGAGGCAGCAGUGAGGAAUAUUGGUCAAUGGACGAGAGUCUGAACCAGCCAAGUAGCGUGCAGGAUGACGGCCCUAUGGGUUGUAAACUGCUUUUAUAGGGGGAUAAAGUGUGCCACGUGUGGCAUAUUGCAGGUACCCUAUGAAUAAGGACCGGCUAAUUCCGUGCCAGCAGCCGCGGUAAUACGGAAGGUCCGGGCGUUAUCCGGAUUUAUUGGGUUUAAAGGGAGCGUAGGCCGUUUGGUAAGCGUGUUGUGAAAUGUCGGGGCUCAACCUGGGCAUUGCAGCGCGAACUGUCAGACUUGAGUGCGCAGGAAGUAGGCGGAAUUCGUCGUGUAGCGGUGAAAUGCUUAGAUAUGACGAAGAACUCCGAUUGCGAAGGCAGCCUGCUGUAGCGCAACUGACGCUGAAGCUCGAAAGCGUGGGUAUCGAACAGGAUUAGAUACCCUGGUAGUCCACGCGGUAAACGAUGGAUGCUCGCUGUUUGCGUCUGACGUAAGCGGCCAAGCGAAAGCGUUAAGCAUCCCACCUGGGGAGUACGCCGGCAACGGUGAAACUCAAAGGAAUUGACGGGGGCCCG
rnacentral:rRNA from 1 species